GUCAGUCCGGAGAUGAAGAAUGUGGCAAUAACCAUCAUGGAGACAGGAGAAUCAACCUCUUCCACACUCCAGAGAUCCAGGAAUACAUUCUGUUGAUUGCUAAAGUAGUAGGAAUGUUUACCUCCAACUGCAGCUUAACACUCAACCACGGUGGUUAAAUGCCUGUUGCAGGUGGGCACUGAAGCAGUCAUUCCGGCUCACACAGAGGACUCCAUACCUGAGAGCCAUUCUAGUGCUUCACGCUGAGGACUGCAUUUCACCUUUACGACAACCAUAUAAAGUGGGUGCUGUUUUUUCUCUAUUUUUGCUAAUGAGGAAAUGGGGGAGGGAACUGUUUAUUUGCUGGAUGUCAAACCUUGAAGUUAUAAAUAAAAGAGCUAGGAUUUGAACCUGUGUCCUCUGAGAACACCAUGGUGAGACUAAAGUGCAUGAGAUUUAUUAGGAGCAACACCUAUGGAAAGUAAAGGUGAAGCAACAGGGGGCGAGUGGACAGGGAAAUGCUUCAGACGGAUAGGCAGCUGUGAAACCCGAGGAUGGAGAGGGCGAAGGAAAGACUGGGGGUGAGCCAGGGGGACAGCUUCAGGUCGCUGCCCAGAUCCUGGGUCAGGCCAAUGGUUGGGGAGGUAGAUCAAUGGGAGAAACUGGCCUUGGGUGGAAGAGAGCUAGCCUAGGAUCCCACACUGCUCAAGGGCUGCCAGGGAGUAGUCCAGGCUGUGCUUUUAUACACCUGGCAGCCCAGUAGGACUGUUUGCAGCUGGCAUCAAUACAGACAGGGAAGCAAUGCAUGGUGCUGUGACGUCACUCUGACUGCCUCACCACCAGGCAGCCGGGAUUUUCCAGCUCUGUUAUAUUCUUAGGGAACUACCAACAGUCAGCUGUUGACCAAAACCUCCUCAGCCAUCCCCGCUCCAAGCUCUCUAACCCUCCUCUCAGGCAUCUCCUUAAGCACAGCUGGUCACACUGCUUUAUGGAAUCCUCUUUCUUUUAUUUUACACUCCCCAGCCUUUCUCUUACCUCUCUGCUCUCUGACAGUUCUUUAUAUUUCUGCCGCUGGGGUCUCCUCUUUGAUUUAUUAGAGUGCACCUUCCCCGGCUCCCUGCAGCGCUAGCUUCUCUUCUCUACCUACACUAUCCCCUAG
rnacentral:lncRNA from 1 species